AGCAACUCUCUGUCUCUCUAUUUUCAGCGUCUCUCCCUCUCCCUCUCCGCUGCUCCUCUCCCCUCCCUCUCUCACCACCGCUCCUCCUCGCGUUCGCCAGCAACCGGAGCACCAGGGAAGAUUGUAAACGCACCAAACAAGACUUUGUUUUCUCCGAAUGGAAGGUCUCUCUCUCUCUCUCUCUCUCAAUUUUGCAAAAAAAUUAUCAUUAUGAGGGACCCUUGUUCAAAUGUCCCAAAAACAAUGAAAGAAAUUUGGGUUUUUUUAGAUUUUGGAUGUUCUUUUUUUUUAGAGUUGAAGUCAUCUGUCAUUCAUUCAUGUCUCAUGUGCCAGUGUUUGUGAAAAUGGGUUGGUUUGUUUUCCUGUGUUGGUGAGCAAACUACUCUUUUUGAUUUAUGCUCACCAAGUGUAUGAAAAAAUGUCAUAGAGAGGUUUUGAGGACUGGUUUCUACUUACCUUAGUUUAGAUAUUGGGUCAUUUAUAUAUAAAGCUUCUUAGGAUUUAUAAUUUUCCUCUGUGCUAAUCCAAGUGUUUCUUUCUAAUCCUUAUUGAGAUGUAUGCUACAGUUAUUGUUAUCAUGUUCCACUGCUUCUCUGUUAUAGGUCCAACUGUUUUGAAGGGUGUGGAUUUGUUAAAUAUUUUCAUAGAGAAAUGGCGAUGGCAACUAUUAAUGCGCUUAAUGGAAUAUAUACAAUGAAAGGGUCUGAUCAACCAUUAAUUGUUCAGUUUGUUGAUCCUAAGAGGCCUAGAGCUGGAGACCCAAGCAAUCCAUUUACCUCCCUCUCGCACUCCCGCGUCUGAUUCUGCUCUGUCUCCAUCUGGAUCAUCCCCCGAACUCCCUCCCAGCUUUGUCUCCAUCACAAGGCUUGCUGGAUCAUCCCCCAAACUCCCUUCCAGUUUUCAGGUACAUUCUUAAAGCAUCAAUUGUAUCAGCACUUUCAGCACUUGCCUUGAAGCCCAGUGAGUUUCACAUCACAGCCCAAGCCUUAGAGUGACUUGCUAUCUUCUUUGCUGCCACAGCAUUCUGCAUUGCUAUUUAAUUCCCUACACAGCAGUCCUUACGUGGACCAACUGGUCUGUUUAUGUUGUCUCCUUGUAUAGUUCUACGUUAUGGUUAUGCUCAUUGAUAGUGAAGUUGUAAGGGCUAGGAUAUGAUUGGAUUGCUUUGUUGGACACAGUAGGAACUCCAAUUUGCAAAAUGUUUAGGAUCUGGCGUCUGAAUUUCAUUGGCUUACUUUUGCUUUUCAAUUUGCAUUGACUGAAUUGUGGAAAUUAAGAGAUCACAUUGACUGUUUACAUGAAAAUGUGCAUUUCUUCUACGUUGGGAGUUAGAGUUGAAAAUGCCAUAAACUUAGUCGGAAAAAGGGGUUCGGGCUAGGAAAAUGCAAAACAAGCCCCGAACCAUUGUUUUUUGGUAAUGGGAAGCUUCCCGGUGACAAAUGUGUCAUGUAGGGACAGACGGUACGUAAGUAGUACACAUACGUUGGGAUUUAGGGUUGAAAAUGUCAUAAACUUAGUCGAAAAAAGGGGUUCGGGGGGCAAAAAUGCAAAACAGCCCCCAAGCCAUUGUUUUUUCGUAACAGGAAGCUUCCCGGUGAUAAAUGUGACAUGUAGGGACAGACGGUACGUAAAACGUUGGGAUUUAGGGUUGAAAAUGUCAUAAACUUAGUCGAAAAAAGGGUUUCGGGGGGCGAAAAAGCAAAACAGGCCCCGAGCCACUGUUUUUUCAUAACGGGAUGCUUUCCGGUGAUAAAUGUGGCAUGUAGGAACAGACGGUACGUAAGUAGAACAAGUACGUUGGGAGUUAGAGUUGAAAAUGUCAUAAACUUAGUCGAAAAAAGCGGUUCGGGGGGCACCAUUUUGCAAGAACUAAAUGUGACGACGGAUAUAUCCUGUUGACCUAAUCGGUUUGAAAUUCGAAUAAUGGAUUUGUAAAGUUCAGCAAAGGUUUAGGCGCAAUUGUGUAUUUGAUCAGUUUAACUAUCACCACUACAAAAUGUGCAACAACAGUUGAAUAGUACACAGUUCAUAUAUAUAACAUGGCCUCAAGAUUUGGCUGAUGGAAAGAUAAUUCCUCAGCAACAGAUCAGGGAACUUAGGACUAAAAAAGCUAAGUAUUGAAGAUAUCUAUCAAAAUUAGAUAGUGUUAUGGAAGAAUAGUUAAGCAUAAUCUUUUUCAACUCUUAUCCCCAUAAGCCUGUAAGGAACCCAAGGCAUUACUCAUUCACAAAUAGAAGUAUAUCUACAUGUAUAAACCCACGAAUUAGUUAAAUAGAAAUGAACAGUAUUAUGAUUUCAUUACAUUGUUGACUUAAUUUCUUCUUUAAGGAAAGUGUUUCCAAACUUUCUAUGAUUAUAUCGAAUAAAUUAGAAUAUUUUAUGAAGAAAAAGUACACACCAAUUUCCAUCCAUGGAGGUCAGAAAAGCACUAUUUUAACGUAACUGGAAGGUUCAUGGAGAUCACAAAAGCAUAAGCAUAGUGAGUUUUAUGGAUACCAGACAAACAUUCAUGAUGGGUCCACUUACAUUUUUAUAACAAAUAAUUUUUGGAUGAAAUGGUAAGUACACCCUAAAUAAUUUAUGUAAUUUGGUAAUACCUACACAGUUUAGUUUCACAUUUAACUACUAAAAUUUAUUCAGAUAGAUUUAGAGAUUAAAAAGCUAAAACAAAAACUUAUGAUGGGUCCAUGUUUGGAUGUCUUUCAUUAGUUAAUAGAUAUUACUCUCCUAUACAUAUAAUGUUGGAAAUUAUUACAAUAUAUAUAUGUCGUCCAGAAAUGCCUCUACACGUACCAAACUAAUGAUUUUUUUC